CACCACUACUUUGUUUAUUUUUUGAAUAUACAACAGCGGUUUGGUUUCAUUGACACCGAGACUGCUGAUAUUUGGUGUGGAUUUCACCAUCCAUUGAGGAGAGCAUGUGUCUUUGCUGAGAAAAUUAUGCUUUGUUGCUUGACAGCUGAAGAAAGGUAACAGCUUUUUAUUUCUUCUUCCUAGUACCCAGUGAUUGUGGAGUUGUUCCAUGACGAAAAAGACCCUGCUCCAGCUGCUCCUCCUGGAAAGAAAACUUCUUCCAAAAUCAAUAUCCGCUCGGCUCGUCCAACUGUAAAAGCAGCCAAUAAAGAACACAAGAAAACAGUGGGGCACCAGUUUCGCAAUUCGUUGCACCUGUUAAUGGAGACCCUGAAUGCUACCACUCCCCAUUAUGUUCGGUGUAUCAAGCCCAACGAUGAGAAGCUGCCUUUCAGCUUCGAUCCAAAGAGAGCAGUACAACAACUAAGAGCUUGUGGAGUGUUGGAGACCAUCCGUAUCAGUGCAGCGGGCUACCCAUC